rnacentral:tRNA from 1 species
AGUGCUGUGGCGAAGCGGGUUAACGCCCUGGCCUGAAGUGCCGGCAUCCCAUAUAGGCCCUGGUUCUAGUCCCGGCUGCUUUA